rnacentral:tRNA from 1 species
CAAAUUAGAGCUUGUUUUAUAAAGUAACUUAUUUACAUUAAGGAGAAAAUUGUGAAAUUCAAUUUAAUUUGA